rnacentral:rRNA from 1 species
UACGGAAGGCAGCAGUGGGGAAUAUUGCACAAUGGGCGAAAGCCUGAUGCAGCUAUGCCGCGUGUAUGAAGAAGGCCUUAGGGUUGUAAAGUACUUUCAUCGGGGAGGAAAAAACAAAACUAAUAAUUUUAUUUCUUGACGUUACCCGAAAAAGAAGCACCGGCUAACUCCGUGCCAGCAGCCGCGGUAAUACGGGGGUGCUAGCGUUAAUCAGAAUUACUGGGCGUAAAGAGCACGUAGGUGGUUUUUUUAAGUCAGAUGUGAAAUCCCUGGGCUUAACCUGGAACUGCAUUUUGAAACUGAAAUACUAGAGUAUCGUAGAGGGAGGUAGAAUUCUAGGUGUAGCGGUGAAAUGCGUAGAUAUCUGGAGGAAUACCUGUGGCGAAAGCGGCCUCCUAAACGAAUACUGACACUGAGGGUGCGAAAGCGUGGGGAGCAAACAGGGAUUAGAUACC